UUACGAUAUAUAGCUGUUGCUAUUACUCAAUUAAGUGCAAUGGGGAACGUAAUAGCAAUUGACGAUAUUGAGUUAUAUUUAAAAAAAAUGGAAUGUUCAAUAUUCAUGUUAGUGAACAUAUUAAAAACAAUAAUGCUCAAAUUCAAAACGUUAUGCACACAACAACCUCUGAUUUAGAUUACACUACUACAUUAAACCAAAAAUUAUUUAAUAUAAUACAGCAAAAUAAUUUUUUAAAUAAUUACAAAUCGUAUAAAACUGAAAUAAUCAAUAACAUCAUGUCUGAAAACAAACAUUUAAAAAAACAGAAAGCAAAAUUCAUUUCCGCAUACAAAAAAAAAUUAAACGAUGCAUUUGCUAGUAAGCAACUUGAAAACCUCGUUGAAUUUGAAAUUGAGAAGCAAAUACCGAAGGUUGAUUAUUUUUAUAAUGCUACAAAAGAAUGGAAAGUGAAUGAAAAAAAUGAUCAAUUGAACCACAUGAAAAGUUUAAAUAUAAUGCCGGUUGUCUUGUACAACAAAUUCAAAAAACUAAGUGACGAUUAUUUGUUAAAAUAAAAUAAAGAAAACACUGUUCAUCAUAUUUUAAACAGAACAACUUUUUUUGAAUGUGUGUCGUAUGAUAAAUAUAAACAGAAUCCAGAAUUUGCGCAAUUAAUGCACGACGCAAUUAGUAACAUGGUGAUAUGUAUACAAUUCAAUAUUGUAUACCAACAUAUUGGCCCAUUUUACGAAGUCAAUGAUGCGUUGACGGAAGAUGGAUAUUCAGUAUAUCGUAAAGAACUUUUCCAUAAUUUUAGAAUGAUGGUGUCCAAAUUAGAAGAUUUGGAAAAAAACAAAUAUUUCGACAUCGAUAUGAUUGUAAAGGACGUUCCACGAAUGAAAACGGUGUAUACGGACAAUGGCCAAUGUUUAACAAAAUUUAUUCACGAGGAACAUGACAAAUUAAAAAUUAUUGAUAUCAUGAUUUUAGGUGUAUUUCAAUGGUU